rnacentral:rRNA from 1 species
AGAGUUUGAUCCUGGCUCAGAUUGAACGCUGGCGGCAGGCUUAACACAUGCAAGUCGAGCGGGGGAAGGUAGCUUGCUACCGGACCUAGCGGCGGACGGGUGAGUAAUGCUUAGGAAUCUGCCUAUUAGUGGGGGACAACAUCUCGAAAGGGAUGCUAAUACCGCAUACGUCCUACGGGAGAAAGCAGGGGAUCUUCGGACCUUGCGCUAAUAGAUGAGCCUAAGUCGGAUUAGCUAGUUGGUGGGGUAAAGGCCUACCAAGGCGACGAUCUGUAGCGGGUCUGAGAGGAUGAUCCGCCACACUGGGACUGAGACACGGCCCAGACUCCUACGGGAGGCAGCAGUGGGGAAUAUUGGACAAUGGGGGGAACCCUGAUCCAGCCAUGCCGCGUGUGUGAAGAAGGCCUUAUGGUUGUAAAGCACUUUAAGCGAGGAGGAGGCUACUUUAGUUAAUACCUAGAGAUAGUGGACGUUACUCGCAGAAUAAGC